rnacentral:tRNA from 1 species
CAGAGUAUAGCUAAAAAGAAUAGUAUUUCCCUUACACUGAAAAGUCAUUCGUGCAAAUCGAAUUACCCUGA